GAGAGUAAAAAAAAUUCUCUCCCUCUCUCUCUCAUCACUCUACGCUCUCUACUGAAUUGGUGUCUGCCGUUCUAUCCCGAAUCGGCCUCGUCGGUCUCGCCAUAAUGGGCCAGAACCUCGCCUUGAACAUCGCCGAGAAAGGCUUCCCAAUCUCUGUCUACAACCGAACCACAUCCAAAGUAGAUGAAACCCUAGAUCGCAUCGCCGUCGAAGGAAACCUCCCAGUAUCCGGCCAAUACUCCCCACACGACUUCGUCCUCUCGCUCCAACGCCCGAGAUCCCUCAUCAUCCUCGUCAAAGCCGGAGCUCACGUUGAUCAGACAAUCGCUGCCUUCUCCGACGCCGUCCUCUCCCAAACCCAUCUUGGAUGCAAUCUCCUUCCUACGAAGAGGCUUGUAACGAGGAAUCUCUCACCGUCCAAGUAUAUACUACAGACCAAUAAACCCUAAUGAUCUAAAUCGUUUAGAGCAUAUACAUCACGAUAUCUUCCCCCAUCAAGUAAUGAGUCUGAGUUUUUUUCAGAGUGUUGCGAAUGGAGUUAUCGUCUCAUGGGCCGCUGUUUAUCGGAACCGGCCUGAUGGUCACUUUGAUGAGCUCAUCGGUUUCAUUACUGCCAAAGAUAGCGAGAUAGAUGAUCUAAUAUGUUACGAUUCCUCACAAGGAGAGGAGACUUUAAGGAGAGGAGACUUUGAUCUACAUCUUAUCACUCGGCAUUGUAGAAACAUACAGAAACCAUGGAAUAGCAAUGUCACUUUGAUGGUGGCUGCAGACUGCAGUAGCAUGUAUCUUUAGCACUUGGGAUAAAAACUGAGGGUAUCAAAUAAGGAUGGUACGAUGGAUGAAGCAUUGCAUUUGCAGUGAUUCUUGUGAUUGUUGUGACAGGUUGAGACGGAGAGAACAGAUCCGGAGGUAAAGAGAAAAUAGACGCCAUCGGAGCUUGUAGGUGGAAUGGUAGAAGAAGCUUGACGACGGAGGAGGCAAGGCGUGGUUGUGCGGAGGAGAUGCAAGCAGCAUGGUCGUGGUGUGGUUCUAUUAGGGGACUUUAACAAAACAAACCCUCAACUAUAGUCUCAUCCAUAUUUAAACCCUCAACUAUGUUUAUAGUUAAAUAAUUCCUCAACUAAAAUCUGUUACUAAAUUUGUCCCUCCAUCGUUGAAAACGUUUGAUCCCUCAAUGGCUUCCGUCAAAAUAUAAGAAAUGAUUAUUUUCUGUGUGACAAAACAACUUUUUUCAAGAUUCUUCGAAAUAAUAACAAGAUUUUUUCAAAAACAGUUUGACGUGCGUGAUUGCUAUCAAGGCUUUUUGAGUGAAUUCAUUUUAAACCCAGAAAAUCUAACUUACAUCCAAGAAAAAUAGAUCGCCAACACGUUACAAUAUUUUUUUAAUAUUUUGUUGUUUUGAUUUCACAAACACCUA